UACGUAGGGUGCAAACGUUGCUCGGAAUCACUGGGCGUAAAGAGCUCGUAGGCGGUCUGUCGCGUCGAUCGUGAAAACUUGGGGCUUAACCCUGAGCUUGCGGUCGAUACGGGCAUGACUGGAGUUCGGCAGGGGAGACUGGAAUUCCUGGUGUAGCGGUGAAAUGCGCAGAUAUCAGGAGGAACACCGGUGGCGAAGGCGGGUCUCUGGGCCGAUACUGACGCUGAGGAGCGAAAGCGUGGGGAGCGAACAGG
rnacentral:rRNA from 1 species